rnacentral:rRNA from 1 species
CGGGGUGAGUAACGCGUGGACAACCUGCCUCACACUGGGGGAUAACAGUUAGAAAUGACUGCUAAUACCGCAUGAGCGCACAGUACCGCAUGGUACGGUGUGAAAAACUCCGGUGGUGUGAGAUGGAUCCGCGUCUGAUUAGCCAGUUGGCGGGGUAACGGCCCACCAAAGCGACGAUCAGUAGCCGACCUGAGAGGGUGACCGGCCACAUUGGGACUGAGACACGGCCCAA